UGGCGGACGGGUGAGUAACGCGUGGGUAACCUACCUUGUACAGGGGGAUAACAGUUGGAAACGGCUGCUAAUACCGCAUAAGCGCACGGCAUCGCAUGAUGCAGUGUGAAAAACUCCGGUGGUAUAAGAUGGACCCGCGUUGGAUUAGCUAGUUGGUGAGGUAACGGCCCACCAAGGCGACGAUCGGUAGCCGGACUGAGAGGUUGAACGGCCACAUUGGGACUGAGACACGGCCCAG
rnacentral:rRNA from 1 species